GUUGUAUGGUUAAGUGACUAAGCGUACACGGUGGAUGCCUUGGCAGUCAGAGGCGAUGAAGGACGUAAUAACUUGCGAUAAGCCCAGAUUAGGUAGUAAUAACCGUUUGAGUCUGGGAUUUCCGAAUGGGGAAACCCACGUGCAUAAGCACGUAUCGUUGCGUGAAUACAUAGCGCAACGAGGCAAACCCGGGGAACUGAAACAUCUAAGUACCCGGAGGAGUAGAAAUCAACCGAGAUUCCGAAAGUAGCGGCGAGCGAAAUUGGAGUAGCCCUUAAGCUUUUAAUGAUGCAGGUGAAGAGUCUGGAAAGUCUCGCGAUACAGGGUGAUAGCCCCGUAACCGACACAUCAUAAUCAGUGAAAUCGAGUAGGGCGGGACACGUGAUAUCCUGUCUGAAUAUGGGGGGACCAUCCUCCAAGGCUAAAUACUACUGACUGACCGAUAGUGAACCAGUACCGUGAGGGAAAGGCGAAAAGAACCCCUGUGAGGGGAGUGAAAUAGAACCUGAAACCGUGUACGUACAAGCAGUAGGAGCAGGCUUGUCCUGUGACUGCGUACCUUUUGUAUAAUGGGUCAGCGACUUAAUUUUAGUAGCAAGGUUAACCGUUUAGGGGAGCCGUAGGGAAACCGAGUCUUAACUGGGCGUACAGUUGCUAGGAUUAGACCCGAAACCAGGUGAUCUAGCCAUGGGCAGGUUGAAGGUUGAGUAACAUCAACUGGAGGACCGAACCGACUAAUGUUGAAAAAUUAGCGGAUGACUUGUGGCUAGGGGUGAAAGGCCAAUCAAACCUGGAGAUAGCUGGUUCUCCCCGAAAGCUAUUUAGGUAGCGCCUCGGACGAAUACUACUGGGGGUAGAGCACUGUUAAGGCUAGGGGGUCAUCCCGACUUACCAACCCUUUGCAAACUCCGAAUACCAGUAAGUACUAUCCGGGAGACACACGGCGGGUGCUAACGUCCGUCGUGGAGAGGGAAACAACCCAGACCGCCAGCUAAGGUCCCAAAGUAUAGCUAAGUGGGAAACGAUGUGGGAAGGCUUAGACAGCUAGGAUGUUGGCUUAGAAGCAGCCAUCAUUUAAAGAAAGCGUAAUAGCUCACUAGUCGAGUCGGCCUGCGCGGAAGAUGUAACGGGGCUAAGCUAUACACCGAAGCUGCGGCUACGUACUUUUGUACGUGGGGUAGGGGAGCGUUCUGUAAGCCGUUGAAGGUGGUCUGUAAGGGCUGCUGGAGGUAUCAGAAGUGCGAAUGCUGACAUGAGUAACGAUAAAGGGGGUGAAAAACCCCCUCGCCGGAAGACCAAGGGUUCCUGUCCAACGUUAAUCGGGGCAGGGUAAGUCGACCCCUAAGGCGAGGCCGAAAGGCGUAGUCGAUGGGAAACGGGUUAAUAUUCCCGUACUUCUUAUAAUUGCGAUGGGGGGACGGAGAAGGCUAGGUGGGCCUGGCGACGGUUGUCCAGGUUCAAGUACGUAGGCGGAAAGUUUAGGUAAAUCCGGACUUUCACUAACGCUGAGAUACGAUGUCGAGCCACUACGGUGGUGAAGUCAUUGAUGCCAUGCUUCCAGGAAAAGCCUCUAAGCUUCAGAUUAUAAGAAAUCGUACCCCAAACCGACACAGGUGGUCGGGUAGAGAAUACCAAGGCGCUUGAGAGAAC
rnacentral:rRNA from 1 species